GGGCCAAAGAUAUUCAUCAGGUAAUCAUUUAUCUUUGCACUACAGGCCAAAGAUAUUCAUUAAGUAUCACCAUUAAGGACUGAAGAUGAUGAAAAAUAUUUUAAAGAACGAAUCCAGUGAGACAAAAGAACAAAGAUUAAGGAUUCGUACUAUAGAUAAUCCAAAAUCAAAAAACACUCCAUAAUAAGCCAUAGUGGAGUAAAAUUCAAGAAUGAAGAUCAAAACAUGGAUAUAAUCAAAGAUAAUAACCAUAAUAGACAUCUGGG
rnacentral:lncRNA from 1 species